UACGUAGGGAGCAAGCGUUGUCCGGAUUCAUUGGGCGUAAAGGGUGCGUAGGCGGCGCGGUAAGUCGGGUGUGAAAUCUCGGAGCUUAACUCCGAAACUGCAUUCGAUACUGCCGUGCUUGAGGACUGGAGAGGAGACUGGAAUUUACGGUGUAGCGGUGAAAUGCGUAGAUAUCGUAAGGAAGACCAGUGGCGAAGGCGGGUCUCUGGACAGUUCCUGACGCUGAGGCACGAAGGCCAGGGGAGCAAACGGG
rnacentral:rRNA from 1 species